rnacentral:misc_RNA from 1 species
ACCAGGCAAAUCCAGCAACAUAGACGCAAAUGAAUAGCACCACAACAACGGCAUACCAUUUGGGCAACUCACCAGGGUUCCCAUUUACUCCGAACUUAGCACCGAUACAAGCUGCAACAACUGCCUGGCAUAUUAACAUUUGAAUUCCACCCUCAAGGAAAAGGAACCUCCUUCCCCACUUGUCAACACCAUAGAUUGAAACCAAGGUUGCAAAAACAUUAACCAACCCAGUGAUCACAGCAGACAUGAGUGCAGCUUGGCUGCCAAAACCAAUUGUAUCGAACAAAACAGGAGCAUAGAACAUGAUCACAUUGAUGCCAGUGAGUUGCUGGAAGAAUGGGAUUGCUAUUGCCAUAGUAAGUUGAGGCCUGUAUUUUCUCUGCAACAAAUUUUUCCAAGGGUGCUCAACUUUCUUUGAUUCUUCA